ACUGCUUUUCUAUCAGUUGCACAAUCUCCUCAUGUCUGAGACUUGCUUAUUAAGCAGGAGCUUUGAAAGGAAACCAAUCAGUCUCGGUGACUUCAAUCCGUUGCUUGUCUUAGUUAAAAUAAUGCUGGAAAGAAGGAUCAUGAGCUAGAUAACAGCAGAUUGAGGAGAGGAGUUUACUGUACUGUAGGCACAGCGUGGAAAUACAGUUACACGAUGGCCGCCUGAUAAAGAUAGAAGAGCCCUUUAGAACCAAGGUAAGAAAUAUACUUUCUGUGGUUCUGCUUUAAUGCAUGCAAUUGGGACAAGGUGCUGGCAACUAUGAAACUCCAACUGCAUGAAAGUUUCAGUCACAAACUGUUUCAAUAGUGCAUAUCCACGGAUAGUUAUUAUGUCUGUAAGGGUAAACAUGAGGUCAAUUUGUCAUUUCAAUAUUAAUAAAAAAAAAAAAAUAUAUAUAUAUAUAUAUAUAUAUAUAUAUAUUAUUUUUUUUCUUUUUUUUUUUCUUAUAGCUAACCUUUAAGAUGCAUUGAUUGCUAUGGUACUUUAAUUUAAUUUUUUUUAAAUCAUUUUCAAAUGAUGUAGUUGAUAUGAAAUGUAUUAAAAUGCCAGUUGUAAGAUGUUUAGUCAGGUGUGUUAAAAUCACUUUUGAAUUUCAAAAUAUUCAGGUACAGGUACAUGCAGGCUACUGCAAGCGAUGCACAUAUUUAUUAUUAUUGCCAUUACUGGUAUUUAUAAAGUGCCAACAUAUUCCGCUGCGCUGUACUUACAUUUGUUUUCACUGAUACUGAACAAAUAAGCUCUAUUUUAUUAAGUGAAUACUUGUGAGAUGCUAUAGGACAGUGAUGGUUAACUUCUGACAGGCCAUUUGUUUUAGUGCAUUGCAUUCGUCAAGAUGGUCAUCUAUUUGUUUGGGAGGCUAAGGAUCACAUGGGUCAUAAGUCCACAACAGUUAAUAUUAUCAACGUUUAUCAGUGCUAUGAAUUAUAAGCAGUAUCUGCAGACUCUACAGAUGAAUUUGAUGAGAGUCAUGUAUCCCUUAAAGGGAUCUUAUAGUGCCAGGAAAACAAACCCGUUUUCCUUGCACUAUAGGCUCUUGGAGUGCCCCCCCUCCCUCUGUGCCAAAGGGGUUAGAAACCCCUUCAGCCACUUACCUGAAUCCAGCCCCAUUGUCCCUCGGCGCUGGGUCAGGCCUAAUGUUAAUGUGCGGCAAUGGCCGUGUGCGCAUUAGACCUCCCCAUAGGAAGGCAUUCAAUGCUUUUCUAUGGAGAAAAUCUGAUGCUGGAGGUCUGUGGACAUCUAGCGUCAGAUAACGGACCAAAAGUCAUUUUGGAUUCCAGAAGCCCUCUCAUGGCUGUCUGAUAGACAGCCACAGAGGGCAGACUUAGAGCUGCAAUGUGAACAUUGCAGUUCUAUGGAACUGCAAUGUUUUACAUUGCAGCACUAAGUGCAAAAGGGUCACAGCACCCAAUGAGCUGACGUGGUCUGGGUGCCUACAGUGUCCCUUUAGUUUUAUUCUAGAUCUAGAAGAUGUCUAACCUCUCCCUAGGGUCAGAUAGCUGCUCAGUUCAAUUGUAUAAAGAAUCAAAGUCAGCAAAAUACAGAGACUUAAACAGCUUUAUCAUUCCAGAAACCUAAACAGGCUAUUGAUAGUGCAAGUCUCAAAGAUUAUUUAAUGAAAAGCAGCUGUGAGUAAAUGAAUAUUGUGUGAGAUUGGUAGGCACAGUCUUUACUAAAAAUAAUAACACCGUAAUAAAGCAAGAGUUCAUUAGCUGUAUCCUUUGUAAAGAGCACAUCAAGCAAUAAAUAUAGAGAUACUGCACACAUUUGCUUACAGUAGAUCAAAGCAUAUAAAAUUGCUAAUAGUGUAACUGAAAGGGGGGUGUGUGUGUGUGUGUGUGUGUGUGUGUGUGUGUGUGUAUAUAUAUAUAUAUAUAUAUAUAUAUAUAUACGUAUAUCUUUCAUGUGGUUCCAUGUAAUGCUACCACAGUACCUUACAGAGGAGAACUCUAUCUCUCUAUCUUAGUGUGAUGUGAAUUAGAGCAAGUAUCAAGUGACAAAAAAAAGACUAUGGACAAAAUCAAUACCUCAAAGAAAAUAUAAUCAAUUAGGCUAAAGAUGUGUAUACAUUAAGACAUGCAUUAGUACCGCCUAAAAUACCUCAUGGAUGGUAUACAUACUACCCAGGAGGGGUGAGAAAAAUCAUGUGUAUAUACACAAAAAUAAAGUCAGCAAAUAUUAUAUUGAUAUUUAUUUUUAUGUCCUUGAUUUUGAUAAUAUAUAAUGGGUGAUUAUUUUUGUUACUUUAUAAUACUUGAUUAUAACUUAUCAACAAGCCGAUAACUGUAUUUCUUUAAUUUUAAAUAAUUGAAUUCUGAGCAGUCAUUCCAAUCAACUAUUUCAUUUUAACCAAUGCUGAUGGUUCUUAUUCCUUUGUACAUAUUUGCUAAAUCAAGACUUGCAAUUGGAAUUAUAAAGUUGAGCUUACAACAUUUGAUUGAGAUUGUGCUUUAUGCAAGUAUAUUCUAAACAGAUCCACACAGGACAUCAACAAUUAUUGUUGUUGUUGUUGUUUUUUUUUUUUAUCUAAGUUAUAAAAAACAACAACUUGAAUCUAUAAAAUUGUAUAUAUCUCCCAACAGUUUUCAGUCUACACUAAUGGACUAAUGCUGGUUCUUAAUUACUUACCAUUUAUUGUUGAUGGAUAAAUCUCAAAUCAUGUUAUCAUUGAUUUCUGAAAUAAAGCUUUGAAACUAAUUAAUUGUACAGUUUCUAUUUAAUUAUACAGACUGAUACUUUAAAAUUGGUUUGUUGUGUUAUACAUAUUUAUAUUACUUUCAACUUUUACAUCUUUAAUGACAUAUUCACGUUUCUGUAUAUCAAAUUUGACAAACUUAUUUGCUACAAAAUCACCUUUCACUAUAUCACUAAAAAAAUAAUAAUUAGUAACGAUAUUCAGAGUGAUCAAAAUAGUGCAGUAUUUUGCAUAUGCUAAAGAUGCGUAAAUCUCAUUUUUGCCAUAUCAUUUGCUUUUUUCCAUAAAUCUUAUUCACCUAGUUUUUAUUCACAUGGCAGUUGCAUUCCCAUCUUGCCAUAUUGUUGAGUUUUCCCUUUUUACCUUCCCAUUUGAAAAAAGUCAGCCUACAUUAAUUGGUGUCAAAUCAAUAGUUCAACACUUCCCCAGUGCAAGUAAAACACUUAUAUAUGUAAAAGAAAGGUAAAUUACUAGUGGAUGAAGAGUUACAAGAUUCCUCAAAGUUCCUUGUUAUAAAAUAUACGGUAAAUCUACAUCAAUAUAAAAAACAAGAAACCAAAAAUAGUGCAAUAUGUUUAAACCACUUGAAUUAAAAUCAAGUCAAGGUUAAACUCACAAAUUCAAAUAUGGAAAAAGGAUCAUCAGGUUAAAAUUUUGGCCUCCAGUCAAUGGUGCCGUCAAGGCAAGCCUCAAAAAGUGAGUCCUACACUAGCCACUAGAUUUGCUGAUAUCAGCCAAGAAGAAACACGUGUAUAAAUCGGUCCUUCAGCGAGUUUCUUAGUAAAGCGUUUAGUAAAAGUUUUACACAAUUUCUAUCAUAUACCUGACACUAUGUAGUACACAUAUAACAAUAUUCAUAGAUAAAACUUCUCUAAUCUUGAAAAUAAAGCUCUUAAGGUUAACCAAUAGAUAGGCACUAAUGGUGACUUAUUUUGUAAUGCAUAAAAUAUUAAUCUAACUGCACCAUAAGUAAAAAUGUAUAUGGUGUAGCAUAAAAAUGAGCUAAACAAUAUACUAAUAUAUAACAUUUUGGGGGAAUGACAUUUGGAUUAAAGGGACACUAUAGGACCCAGACCUAAUGUGAAUGCAGCACCUGCCAUGCAUGUGCAUUAUGUCUGCUCUCCAGAUGAUGUUGGAGGGGGCAGAGCACACAUGGGUGAGUAAAAUAAAGGAGUUUUAACCCUUUAUGUGCUAUGGGGUGGAGUAGGAAGGGUGCAAGGGAGAGGGGGACCAGAGUGCACUAUAGUGUUAGGAAUACAACUUUCUAUUUAUAGCACUAUGGAUUUCCUUUAAUAAUGCACUCAGACUGACACUGAAUUUUAGUGUGAAGUUUAGUGUUUUAAAUAUUCUUUAAAUCUUCCUAGAAACAAUGUUUAGUUUUCAGAUUACUUUGCAGUGCAAUAAUGGAGUUUUUAAAGGACAAAAGUGGUAAAUGUAGAGCAAAUCUGAAAAUACAUUUGGUUUCUAUGACAAUUGUUCCAUUUUUAGAAAUGUGCACCAGCAUUGCUCAUUACAAAUAACUUAAGUUACAAAUGACAUAUGUUGACAGCUCUGUUCCUCUCCCUUUACUAACAUGCUUGGCUAGGGCCUAAGCACAGACAGAGAAACGCAGUGUCCCACUCUUCCUGCAACUUGCAUAUUCAUAAUGAGAAAAAAUGGCAAAUUAUAAAUGUGACUCAAGAAUGGCGCUUCUAUCAUUCUCUGGCAGCACAGGUUAUUUAUGUCUAUGGUGUUCAACUGAAAUUAUUGUCCAUUCUGAAUUAAAUUUUUGUGUACAAUAUGCUACAGCUAUGAGUGAUAAAUUAUAUGUAAUGCAUGUUAUUUGAAGUCAAAAGUGUACAUUAAGAAAGAAAUAGUCAGACCUCUAUAGCUCAGUUGUUGGGGAAACAUUUCAUGCAUAGAACUAAAUCCGUCUGCUGAACUACAUGUCCCAUACACCAUUUCUUUGAAGCGAUUUUUGGGACAUGCAAGAACAUGGGAGAACCAUAAUUGUCUGAAUAUUCUUUCAAAGUGUUCUGUUCUAAAAAGUAAUCUAAAAUACUUUGGAAAUCAAUUGGACCAAUUGGCACAGUCCAUUGAUGACGCCUUCCUUUUCACAUGUUUGAACCAUUUUUAGAACAAAACACUUUGAUAAAUCUUUUCAGGCUGACAAUUUAGCAAACAGAAAUAAAAAUGCAGUAUGGCACUUUGCAAUUAAAUAAAUACUGAUUUCUAGUAAAUUUGAAAUUCUAAUUGCAAAACGUAGUCCAUAACACAGGGCUGGAUGUCUUAUUAGGCAAAGUAGGCACAAGCCUACAGAAACAUGUCUGAUGGGGUCAUCUACUCUGCCUCUUACUGGUGUCUGCUGUUUUCUGACUGGAACAAUGCUGCUGCAUUCUGGGUUCGCUGUUUUCAGAUGACUGAUCUGUGCAUGGUCCAGGCCCCUCCAACCAAACAUAAUUUUUGAAAGUGAAGAGAAAUGGCCAGGAGAAGAAACAGGUCUGGGACCAGAGAUUACAGGUACACACACUACUACACAUACUGCUACCUAGACUGUACAUAUAUAUAUAUAUAUAUAAAUAUAUAUAUAUAUAUAUAUAUAGCUACAAGUACUACUCUCCACACUACAACACAAACACUUUACUCAUAUUGUUGAAAACACUGAUAUAAACAUAUUGCUACACACACUCUCCACACAUGUUACUGCACACAAUGCUGCACAUACUACUACUACCCACACUUAAACACACUUAAACACACACACACACAUUUGCUGUGCACAUGCACAUUACUAGACUUGCUACUUCCCACACUACUCACACACACGGAGCACAUGCACUCUACAGUAACCCACACAAACACAGACAUGCACAAACAUGUAAACAUGCACUCCAUCAUUUACAUACAAACUACUUUACAUACACACGCAAUACACAUAUACAUGUGCAUAGAUACACACAUGCGCAUACACAAAUCUUAUUAUAUUUAACAUAUUUAAGGUGGCUCCCCUGAAGAGCCUCUUUACUGGUGAAACGUGCAUCGGGGGUCAUCCAUGCCUGUGGCCAUAUUUAUUAUAGAUUUCAGAAAAGUUUCACAGAUAAGAGAAAUCACACUUCUUUGUGUAUUAUCUGGAGUCCAGGUAUAGCUAGAUCAAACUAAUACUACUUUACCUGAUAGACUGUUAGCUUUUUGUUUGUAUUACAAGCACAGGAGCCCUCAAAGGCAUAGCAUAGAAUCUGUACUUAGCAAUAUUAUAUUUUCAACUUUUUUGUUUCUUUUUCUGUUAUUCACUAAUAUCUAGUCACACUUUAUCUUACUGUCUGGUGUUGUACUAUAGUUGUAUUAUCACUACUCUGAAUGCUACUUAGUUGAGGUUCCCUCUUUUUGUUACAACACCUUUAGAUACAUUGUUGUUCUUUGGAGGUAAAUUGUAGAGGCUCAGUUGUGUCAAUGUCUAGAUAUAUUGCACUGCUUAACGUCGUGAGACUGCUGAACAUCCUAUGUAGAUUCAACACUAUGGCGAUUCAGAACCAAGAUUCCUUGAGGACACAUGAAAAUAAUGAUUUGUUUGCAACUAGGGUUCUCUCUCGCCAACAUUUUUCUUUCUGUAAAAACCUUAGUUUAAUUUGAUCCUGUAAAUACCUUAGUGAACUCUAACACAAAUAUGGAUAAUCUCAUUUUCAUAUUUGUAAAUUCUUUUGUUUAUUUCAUUUAUUACCUGUGUCUAUUGAUAACUUCCUACGUGUUAACCCAUCCAAUACUACAGUAUACGUGUGUGUGUGUGUGUAUAUAUAUAUAUAUAUGUGUAUAUAUAUAUAUAUAUAUAUAUAUAUAUAUAUAUAUAUAUAUAUAUAUAUUAUUUUUUUUAAUAAUACAUUCUAAAAUGUAAUCUUUCAUUUUCUGUUCCUAUGGUCAGGGCAUUCAGCUAUUCUAAUUCUAGUAUUUAAACCCAAUGCUGGAUUGCUUGAUUAGUAGUUCCAUUUUUCAAGUAGAAAAAAGAAAAAACAUCAGCAAGAUAGGAUUCUUGUCUGGAUCUAGUAAUAACUAUUAAAGGUGACAGAUUAUCACACAUUCAAGUAAGAAGGUAGAAAGUAUGAAACAAGAGAGCGCAAAGCAAAUAAUAAUUGCACUAGUAUAAUAUGUAGAAAUAAUUAUUAAAAAUAUAAAAAUGCUGCUCAAUACAAAUGAAUCUCCCCAAUUCAACUCAACAUCCAAAUAGUAAACAAAAAAGUGUUAGCGCUUAGUAGAUAUGCCACCCUCGAAUGAUAAAGCUAUGGUACUACAAAUACAUAUAAUUAAAAAAACUUUUCUGAUUCCAGGUAUGAGAAACAUAGAAACAUAGAAACAUAGAAUGUGAUGGCAGAUAAGAACCAUUCGGCCCAUCUAGUCUGCCCAAUUUUCUAAAUACUUUCAUUACUCCCUAGUCUUAUCUUAUAGUUAGGAUAGCCUUAUGCCUAUCCCAUGCACGCUUAAACUCCUUUACUGUGUUAACCUCUACCACUUCAGCUGGAAGGCUAUUCCAUGCAUCCAUUACCCUCUCAGUAAAGUAAUACUUCCUGAUAUUAUUUUUAAACCUUUGUCCCUCUAAUUUAAGACUAUGUCCUCUUGUUGUGGUAGUUUUUCUUCUUUUAAAUAUAGUCUCCUCCUUUACUGUGUUGAUUCCCUUUAUGUAUUUAAAUGUUUCUAUCAUAUCCCCCCUGUCUCGUCUUUCCUCCAAGCUAUACAUGUUAAGAUCCUUUAACCUUUCCUGGUAAGUUUUAUCCCGCAAUCCAUGAACCAGUUUAGUAGCCCUUCUCUGAACCCUCUCUAAGGUAUCAAUAUCCUUCUGAAGAUACGGUCUCCAGUACUGUGUACAAUACUCCAAGUGAGGUCUCACCAGUGUUCUGUACAAUGGCAUGAGCACUUCCCUCUUUCUACUACUAAUACCUCUCCCUAUACAACCAAGCAUCCUGCUAGCAUUUCCUGCUGCUCUAUUACAUUGUCUGCCUACCUUUAAAUCAUCAGAAAUAAUCACCCCUAAAUCCCUUUCCUCAUAUGUUGAGGUUAGGACUCUAUCAAAUAUGCUGUACUCUGCCCUUGGGUUUUUACGUCCAAGAUGCAUUAUCUUGCACUUAUCCACAUUAAAUGUCAGUUGCCACAAUUCUUACCAUUUUUUUAGUUUACCUAAAUCAUUUGUCAUUUGGCUUAUCCCUCCUGGAACAUCAACCCUGUUACAUAUCUUAGUAUCAUCAGCAAAAAGACAUACCUUACCAUCAAGACCUUCUGCAAUAUCACUAAUAAAAAUAUUAAAGAGAAUGGGUCCAAGUACAGAUCCCUGAGGUACCCCACUGGUGACAAGUCCAAGCUUCGAAUAUAUUCCAUUAACUACAACCCUCUGUUGCCUGUCACUCAGCCACUGCCUUACCCAUUCAACAAUAUUGGAAUCCAAACUUAAAGAUUGCAGUUUAUUGAUAAGCCUUCUAUGUGCAACAGUGUCAAAAGCCUUACUGAAAUCUAGGUAAGCAAUGUCUACUGCACCACCCUGAUCUAUAAUCAUAAUAAUGAGGGAAAGGAUCUCAAUGUCUGUAUUGUUGUGGACUUGAUAUUAGAAUAGUGAUUCAACCUUAAAAUUAACAAAAACAAAUGCAAAGUAUAACACUGUUAAUUUAUGAAAACCCCCCUCUCUCCUUAUAGGAACUCUUACAGGAAAAAAACCUGGUGCUUGUCUUCAAGGAUCACCAAAAAAGCAUGCGAUAUGGUAUAGUUAGCAGAGUAAUUUUAGUGUUACCACUUUGUUGGGUCACCGCUGCGGUCUGCUCAGUGCACUUGAGCCGUAUAAGGUUGCUUGUCCCUCUGAAAUAACUAUUGCUACAUUUACACACUACAGUUACAAGUCUUUUCCAUUUUAAGACUCUUCUGCUGUGAUCUAGAGCUGUCACAAUCUUGAGCCUGAAUCUGGCUGAGCUUAAUGAGAGUGGUGAGUGGAAGACUGAGUUAUACUGUAAAUGAAAAAUAAAAAUGGGAAGGUAGUGCAGCACCGGACGUGCAGUAUGUGUGAGGUGUGCCAGGAGAUGACAGAACACCUAGUAAUGUGUAGUGUAUACUUGGAGUUAACUGAGCACUAACCACCCAAGUGAAACAAAAUUGCUGAAUUGAAGCUAAAGUAGCCAAGCUGUGACUACAACUGAGUUAUUGGAUUUGUCCAGAUCAGCUACUGUUGCCUCAAUUUUGCAAUUUAACCCUAAAUCCACUACAUAUUGUAGUAUAUUGAAAACAUUCCAUAUUGUUUGUAAGAGGAAAGGUGCAGACUUUUUUUUUUAUUUAGGACUGAGUGUGCAUAUGUGAAUGCAAUGAUGGGAUUAUAUAUGCCCACAAUUUAUAUUUUAUAUGGACACUUGGGUAUAGUUUUAGAUAUAUCUGUAACCAGGGCUACCACUGCUCAAGGUUUAGGCCCCUGGCGUCAACCCCUGAGUUUUCCUACAGUGCCGGCCCCGAGUCUGCCCACAAAGAUGCAGUGUGUGUGUGUGUGUGUGUGCAGAAAAUACAGUGUUUUUGUGGAGUGGAUAGAGUGGAUGUGUUUAUGUAGAGCAGGGGUGUCCAAAAAGUAGAUCCCUAGAUGUUAUAGAAUUACAACUCCCAUGAUGUUUGCAUGCCUUUAGAAUGGCAAAGCUUCAUGUAAGCUGUAGUUUUAAAACAUCUGAGGAUCUACCUUUUUGGCAUCAAUGGUGUAGAGCAAGGGUGGGGAACCUUCGGCCCUCCCGAUGUUUUUGACUACAUACAGCCAUAUUGCUAGCAAAGCAUCAAGGGAGAUGUAGUCCACACCAUCUGGAGGGCUGAAAGUUCCCCACCCCUGGUGAAGAGGAUGCAGUGUGUGGGGAAACAUUUUUACUUUUAACCAUUUAUUAAUUGUAUUCCCCCCUAAAUAUCUCAUAUAUGUGGCCAGGGAAGGGGGACACUAUCUGGUGAUCCCUUGGCAUUGUACAGGCUGCCAGGUGCUGUGCAGGGAAGAGGGAGCCUAGCCAACAUGGUCUUAAGCUUCCAGCAGCUCCUCUAUCCAACUCUUGCAAGUCCAGUUUACGUGUCGUGCAGAGCAUUGCCAUGGUAACUUGCAGCAGCACUCUGACAGCUGGGGGCUCCCGAGAGUUGGAGAGAACUUCUGAAAGCUAGUGAUCACAUGUGCUGGGCACUGUUUUCACUAUACAAGAUGCAGAGGGCCUGCAGGGGCAGUGCUGGAACUAAAGUAGAGAGAUCCCUGGUACAAGAUCUUUUUUUUGGGGCCAUCCUCAAAGAUUCCCAUCUGUCGUACAAGUCCCACAAUGCUUUGCUUGCUGGGGAUCUACAAGUUGCCCAUGCUUGCAGGGUUGUGUUUAGCACAGUGCAGUGUUUGUGUGUUUGAAUGUAAGCAUGCUUUUGUAUGGAGUAUGCGUGUGAGAAUAUUUUGAAUGCAGGCAUGCAUUUGUUUGUAGUGUAUAAACUGCCACACACAUAAAUACACACAUACACUGAUAUACAUUAUCUCACAAAAGUGAGUGCACCCCUCACAUUUCUGUAAAUAUUUUAUUAUAUCUUUUAAUGUGACAAAACUGAACAAAUGACACUCUGCUACAAUGUAAAGUAUUACGUGUACAGCCUGUAUAACAGUGUCAAUUUGCCGUCCCCUCAAAAUAACUCAACACACAGCCAUUAAUGUCUAAACCAUUGGCAACAAAAGUGAGUACACCCCUAAGUGGAAAUGUCCAAAUUGGGCCCAAUUAACCAUUUUUCCUCCCUAGUGUCAUGUGACUCAGUGUUACAAGGUCUCAGGUGUGAAUAGGGAGCAGGUGUGUUAAAUUUGGUGUUAUCGCUCUCACACUUUCUCAUACAGGUCACUGAAAGUUCAACAUGGCACCUCAUGGCAAAGAACUCUCUGAGGAUCUGUAAAAAAUAAUUAUUGCUCUACAUAAAGAUGGCCGUGGCUAUAAGAAGAUUGCCUAGACCCUGAAACUGUCACCUUUAAUAGUUAUUACUAGAUCCAGACAAGAAUCCUAUCUUGCUGAAUAGGGAGCAGGUGUGUUAAAUUUGGUGUUAUCGCUCUCACAUUUUCUCAUACAGGUCACUGAAAGUUCAACAUGGCACCUCAUGGCAAAGAACUCUCUGAGGAUCUGUAAAAAAGAAUUAUUGCUCUACAUAAAGAUGGCCGUGGCUAUAAGAAGAUUGCCUAGACCCUGAAACUGAGCUGCAGCACGGUAGGCAAGAGGGUUUCACAGGACAGGUUCCACUCAGAUCAUGCCUCACCAUGGUCGAAAAAACACGUGAUCAGCGACAUAUCCAGAGGUUUUCUUUGGGAUAUGGACUUAGGAGUGCUGCCAGCAUUGCUGCAGAGGUUGAGGGGGUGCUCAGACCAUAUGCCACACACUGCAUCAAAUUGGUCUGCAUGACUGUUGUCCCAGAAGGAAGCCUCUUCUAAAGAUGAUGCACAAGAAAGCCUGCAAACAGUUUGCUGAAGAUAAGCAGACUAAGGACAUGGAUUACUGGAAUCAUGUCCUGUGGUCAAAUGAGACCAAGAUAUUAUUUGGUUCAGAUGGUGUCAAGCGUGUGUGGCGGCAAACAGAUGAGGAAUAUAAAGACAAGUGUGUUUUGCCUACAGUCAAGCAUGGUGGUGGGAGUAUCAUGGCCUGGGCCUGCAUGAGUGCUGUCGGCACUGGGGAGCUACAGUUCACUGAGGGAACCCUGGAUGUACUGUGACAUACUGAAGCAGAGCAUGAUCCCCUCCCUUCGGAGACUGGACCGCAGGGCAGUAUUCCAACAUGAUAACAAUCCCAAACACACCUCCAAGACGACCACUGCCUUGCUAAAGAAGCUGAAGGUAAAGGAGAAGAACUGACCAAGCAUGUCUCCAGACCUAAACCCUAUUGAGCAUCUGUGGGGCAUCCUCAAAAGGAAGGUGGGGGAGCACAAGGUCUCCAACAUCCACCAGCUCCGUGAUGUUGUCAUAAAGGAGUGAAAGAGGACUUGAGUGGCAACCUGUGAAGCUCUGGUGAAUUCCAUGCCCAUGAGGGUUAAGGCAGUGCUGGAAAAUAAUGGUGGCCACACAAAAUAUUGACAGUUUGGGCCCAAUUUGAACAUUUCCACUCAGUACUCACUUUUGUUGCCAAUGGUUUAGACAUUAAUGGCUCUGUGUUGAGUUAUUUUGAGGGGGCUGCAAAUUUACACUGCUAUACAGGUUGCACACUUACUACUUUACAUUGUAGCAGAGUGUAAUUUCUUCAGUGUUGUCACACAAAAAGAUGUCAUAAAAUAUUUACAAAGGUGUGGGGUGUACUCACUUUUGUGAGAUACUGUACAUGCAAAUACACAGACACACACUGACACAUACACUGGUACAUAUGCACAGAGACAUUGUUGGGUAAGUGUGAUAGGGUUUGGGGAGUAGCUGUGAGGGUGGUUGAACAUGCCAUAGUUAGGGAGUGAGCAUGACAAGGUUGGAGGGGCACGGUGCGUGUGAGUGUUGGGGGUGGGUAAGUGUGACAGCUUGAGAGGUGGUAAGUGACUAUGGGAGGGUGUUGGUGUGACAGGGUUAGUGUGCCAGGGUUAGGGGGGUUAGUGUGACAAGGUUAGGGGGGUUAGUGUGACAGGGUUAGGAGAAUGUUAUAGAGUGUGUGGCAGAGAGAGGGGUGGUGAGUGACUAAGUGGAGAGAAUGACAGUAUUUGGGGAGGCUGCGUUAAACACAGGCAUAUACGCACAGCACAGAGGCAUACAUAUACACAAUAAAAAGAUGUGUCUGUACCUUUCUACUGGUACCUUGACUGGCCAGUUAUGGUUUCAGCAGGAAUGGCAGCUGCAAGCCUACUGUAGAGAGAGCAGGAAUGGCAGCAUGCCGCUGACCCUGCACUUUGUAGUUUUCCACUUUCUCCGACAGAGUUGUAACUUAGAACUGUUGUACCCCAAUGCAACAAUUAUGGAGGGCACCCUUUUUAAAUCCCCCUAAGCAUGAGUGGGUUGUGUGUGGUGACUGUGUGUGAGGUAGUCUGAUUGCAUGUGGAAGUUGACUGAGAGACACACACAGAAGGAUCACCAAAGGCAGCAAAAGGAGAACCAGAGAGGGAGAGAGAAACCCAGAGGUGAGAGGGAGGAAAACAGACAAUAAAAUAAGGAGAGUCCGAGACAGCCAAAGAAGGAGAGCAAGAGAGAGAGAAACGGAAAGAGAAAGGUAAACCAGAGACAGUCAUAUAAGUAGAGACAGAAAGAGAGUUGGAGAAACACAAGCAGAAGGAGAGCUAGAGAGAGACACACUGAGGGAGGAGAGCCAGAGGAAGAUAGAAAGGGAGGAGGAGAGAGAGACAAAGAAUGUCAUACACAGAGAGAAGGAAGAACAGAGAAUGAGAGCCUCAUAGGUGUGCAGGGAAAGGUCAGGUCUUUAAUAUUUGUAUAAGCUUCAAAAUUCAUAAAGUGCCUCUGCCAGGAUUGAGUUUCCCCAACCCUGAUUCAGAGUGCCACUGGAGGAGAGACUGAGAGUGUAGGAGAAUGUUUGUGGAGCUGCUGCUGGGCUUGAUGUGAGUUCCUAUGUGCUGUCCAUAGGCCCCAGAGCUUCCUGGGAACUGGGAUAGGCUCUCUUUUUCGGUGAGGAAGCAGCCUGCACAGAUAGAGUUGUGUUUUCAGAGAGGCCACCCGCAGCAAAUUCUGCCGUGCUGUACCCUGGGCAAAGGUGGAGCUAUGCUGCUGUAUUCUAUACUAAAAACAGUUUUGCAAGGGGUGCCCCAUCCAGUCUGGGCCCCACCUUGAUAGGAGAAGCCCAAUGGCCCAAUAGCCAUAGCGACCUUUGACGCCCUGGUAAUUCCACUAUUGCUCCUCAGUUUCCUCAUGAUACUUAUCUGCUCUUGCACUGCACAUGACCUCUGCAGUGAGGCUCAGAGCUGAGAGGAAGAAAAAUUGUGAUAGAAAGACAUUAAAAUGGUUGGUGAGAUCAUAUUCCCUGUGUGUCUUUUUCAUUGUGCAGCUUCCACUCCUGGCUGACUUCUAGACUCCCCAAGCAGACGGAGAGCAAGCAGGAGUAGCAGGGCAUGUAGUAAAAAGAGAUCCAGGACUAUAGGGAGACACAUUUGGGGCUUGGGCCACGUCCCCCUGCCCCCACUGCCCCUCAUUAAAAAGUAUGCUAUGAUAUUCUGCUCAUUCUCUUAAAGAGAUUAUUUCAGACAUAAUUUAAACACAUUUUGUUUGUAUCUGCAUUGUUCUAGAUUGUUAAUCAAAUAUUUUAGAAAUAUCGCUGGUGGGAGGGUAGCUACAUUUUUUCUGACAUUCUUUGUCAUGUGUCCCUAAUGCACUGCACUGUUUAAAACAUAAGGUGGUUACUUAAUGGUUUACUUAAAUGCCAGACUGCCAGCCUGCACUCAAUAAUGUUUAACAAAGCAGGCUAAAAUCUCCUUUAAAAAAACAGAUAUUUUCUAACAAAAUACAUAUUGUUGGAUUAAUUAUGGUCCAUAGCAUGUUCCUUUUGAAAGGUGCAAUUCUGCAGCAAUUGUGUUAUAAUGCAUCUGCCCACCCAUGCAGGUUUUGAAGCCCCCUACUGCUACUAAUUAACACUGACACUUAUUAAUAGAAAUAAUAACUAAGGACCAUUUUACAUCUGUUACUGUGCUAAAGUCAAUGUGUUCAUCGGACUCUUUGAUGUGGCAAUGCCACAGAACAAUAGGUGUACAUUUUUUUUUUAUCCUUCUCUUUUCUGAUCCCUAGUGGAUUCUGUUAAAAUAGAGACACAUAGAUUCUGAAAUGACUUCAUUUGCUCGCACUAAAUACCAAUACUAACCUACCAGUUUUAAAAUUAAGGGCAGAGAGGUUACAUCCACUGGGGACUUUUAUAUGUAUACCUUUGAUUAAUCAGAAACCUUUCCACUGACUUUAAAUAACACUCAUUCAAAUAAAUGGAGGCUUUGGGCAUCAGUAUAGAAACAGAUUUCUUGUAAAUGCGUCAGGAAUAAGUAAGCACACAUGUGACAUUGUGUGUGCAUGCAUGCAUGUUCAACAGGGACAUCAAUAGGAAUAUUUUUAAUUAUAAUUAUAUUUAAAUAUAUACUAUGUGUAUAAUAGAUUAAAAAUGACAAUUAAAUCUUUCCUGAAGUGUCCCUUUAAUUAUAAGUUCACUGUGCUGCCAUUGUGAAUUAUGAAGCACACUAAAUGACCAUGCAGUUUUAAUCAGGACAGUGAUAUUGCUUUAGAGGUUUUAAUGCGGAAGAUGGAAGACUUAAAAGACUGCAGAUAUUUUUUAUGCAAGAAGCAUUAAAGAAACAUAGCUGCUGACAAAAUCGUGAUUGCACCACAUUUACAAGAAAGCAUAACUAUGUACAUUUUGUACAAAAUACUUAUAAACUGGUUUCAGCAGAAAAUUAAAUCCAGAUAAAUUAACCUUUUUAAGUUAGAACAAUACAUUGCUCAUCUCCAAGUGAACCAAAUGGUUAAAUUAUAAUUGAACUGCCUAUUUAGAAUGAUUGUAAUGGUCGAGCACAGAUAAUGCAUCUUGAUCAUUAGGUUAAUGCAGACAUAUCAAUUUUUUCUGCGAGUGUGUCUGAAUUCUUCUCGGUAUUCAUGUCAUAAAAAAAGACAUUUCCCGCCAAAUGCCAUCAGUAUAUCAGAUUGGAAAUCAAUUGUACAAGCAAAAAAAGAAAAAAAGUCAUUAAAGUAAGGCUUCAAUUCAUAUUUUAGAAGAAUGAUUUCAAUAUAUAUCUGCUUAAUGUUUGUCUAUGAAUGCUUGAAUUAUUGGUUAAAAAUGCUAAUUCUGCAAGAAGGUCAGAUUUAAUGGAACUCAGUUUUCAUGCCCAUAUAGUAUGCAAGAAGACUCUGCAAGAGUCCAGUUGCAUGGAAAUAAAUGUUUUUUAAAAGAUUAAUGUACCAGCAUAUUGUACAAGAUAAAGAGAAAGAUAAUGUUUUAGAUAGCAUGCUUUUAAACAUUUUCUGGAUGUUUAUCAGAUAUCUUGGAUUGUAAUUUCUUUCACACAGAUAACAUGCAAAAGCAAGUAAACAUUAUAUUCAGCUUUUUAGAAAUUGUUUGCAAUUUUCAUUCCUACUGUGAAUAAAGUAUUUAUCCAUGUUUUUCACUCCAUCAUUCUGACAACAAAACUGUAGAUUGGUAAAAUUAUAACAAAUAUAUGUUCAUAGACACUGAUCAGCACAACAUUAAAAAAGCGGCCUAAAAUAGUUACCAAGUAACCUUCUUCCAUUGCUCCAGCUCUGAUGCUCAUAUCCCCAUUGAAGGCACUUUUGGUGGUGAACUGGAGUAAUCAUGGGCACUCUGACCUGUCUGAAAUAAUGCAGCCCCAUAAAUUGUGUGUUUUGAAACAUUUUGUGGCCAGCAUUAAAGGGACACCAAAACAAAACAUAGUCACCAAAACAACUUUAGCUUAAUAAAGCAAAUUUGUAUAGAUCAUGCCCCUGCAGUCUCACUGCUCAGUUCCCUGCCAUUUAGGAGGUGAAGACUGUUUCUAUAGCCCUAAGCACACCUCUUUGCAUGUGAUUGACACAGUCGUCCUAAACACUUCCUGUAAAGACUCAUCUAAUGUACACUUCCUUUAUUGCAAAUUCUAUUUAAUUUAAAAUGUUAUAUCUCCUAUUCUGUUAAUAGCUUGCUAGACCCUACAGAAGCCUCCUGUAUGUGCUUAACGUUCAAUUUACAGAGCAAGAGAUAAAAAUUUUUAAAGUAAGCUACAUCUGAUUGAAAAUGAAACCAUUUUGUUUUCAUGCAGGCUGUCUCAGUCACAGCCAGUGGAGGUGUGGCUAGGGCUGCAUAAACAGACACUAAAGUGAUUUAACUUCUAAAUGGCAAAGGAUUGAGCAGUAAAACUUAAGCAGUGGCAUGAUCUAUACACAAAAAAACUAAGUUGUUUUGGUGACUAUAGUGACCCUUUAAGUUUUCCAAUAAAUUAAGCUCUCUUUGCUCGCCGCAUGCACCAAAUGAGCCUUGGGCGCCCAUGACCACUUGUCCUUCCUUGCAUGACUUUUUGUAAGUACUAACCACUACACACAGGGAACACCCAACAAGAUUUUUUUAUUUUGAAAAUGCCCAGUCAUCUAGCCAUCACAUCUUGUCAAAAUCACUCAGAUCUCUUUGCUUGCCCUUUUUUCCUGCUUCCAACAUAUGAAAUUCAAGAAAUGACUGUGCGCUUGCUGUCUAUUAUAACCCACCCUUUGACAGGUGCCAUUGGAACAAUAAAGUCAGAGGGGGGAGGGGGGAGUGUGUGUGUGUGUGUGUGUGUGUGUAUGAAACACAUCAGCACUCCCAGGUAGCUUUCUUAGGAUUUUCUUUUACUAAAAAGUGUAACAAGCAAUGUUUCAGUUCCAUUCAUUCAGUUUCAUCAGGACAACCAUCAGUAAAAGAAGUUCCUAAGAAAGUUACCUGGGAGUGCUGAUUGUUUUCUUUAAUACAUUUAGUGAAAUCAAGCACCAGGUCAAAUAACUGUAAGUAGGAGUGCAAGGCUUUUUUCAUUAUAUAUGUAUAUAUAUAUAUGUUGAAAAUGACAUAGCUGUAGAUACUGGCAUACAAGGAGUAAGAUAUAUUAUAAAAUAGUGUGAUAUCAUUAAGAUUACUAAGACUUUGUGGUAACACUUGAUAGGGAUAUUAAGUACAUUGAUAUGCAUUUUUAGGUAGUGUAGGAAAAAUAGAAAAUGGGAGGGGUAUGUUUACAUAUCAAAUCUGAAUUGAAGUCAAGUUUUAUAUGUGAUGAUACAAUUGAGGAUGAGGUAGCAUUAUAGGUAGAAAUGUGCAUAGGAGGAAACAGGUGGCAUUCAUUAAUAGUAGGAAUAUGUUACAAACCUAAAACAUUAAUACUGAUGGGAAUGAGCAACUGCUAUCUCAAAUUAAUAAGGCUACACAUCUGGGCAAUUUGUUAAUUAUUGGCAUUUAAUCAUCCAUAUAGUGACAGUGGGCCAGAGGGACUAGUAGUACAGUUAAGGGAUACAUGUUUUUGAAUAUGUUAAAUUAUACUUUCAAAUCUCAAAUAGAAGCACCAAUUAGAAUAGAUGCUUGUCCGAAACUUGUAAUAACAAAUAAUGUUGGCCUAUUUUAUAAAUUUUCAAGUUUGGAAGCUCUUGGGAAACAGUGACUAAUAACGCUGUCAGUUAUGCCUCCAUGGCUAAAAUAAUUAAUCUGAUGAUCUAAGCCAGGAUGCAGGCAACCUUUGGCACCCCAGAUGUUCUGGACUAUAACGUUCAUAAUGUUCUUACACCCGUAAUACUGGCAAACCAUCAGCGGAGAUGUAGUCAACAACAUCUGGAGUGUCAAAGGUUCUAAGCCAAUCCAAAACAUCCCCAUAGGGAAAGUGCUGUAUAUUACUGUGCUGCACCUAUUUAACACAGUCCAAUAAGAAGUGAGUCUGAAUAAGAAGUGAGUCUGACUUGGUUGUCACCGGAAAAGCACCUCUUCAGGAAGACUGCCUCUAGAGGUGUAUUACCCUGCAAUCAUAAAAUUGCUAUUCUACUAAACGCAGUGGUGUAUCCUGGUUUUGUGCUGCCCUAGGCAGGACAAAACUCAGGCGCCCCCCCACCCAACCCUUCCCCCCGCCCUGCCUUCUAAAUACACACACAUUCACUGACAGAUACACAUACACUAGCUAACAGAAACACACACUCGCUAACAGAAACACACACACUAACAGACACACUCACACUCACUAACAGACAAACACACACUCACUAGCAGACACACACACUCACUGACACACGCUCACAGGCAAACACACUCACACUAACAGACACACAGUCAGACACACACACACUAACAGACACAACCAGUCAGACACACACACAUUAACAGACACACACUCACUAGCAGACACACACACUCACUAACAGACACACACACUCACAGGCAAACACACACUCACUAACAGACACACACUAGCAGACACACACACUCACUAACAGACACACACACUCACAGGCAAACACACACUAGCAGACACAUACACUCACUAACAGACACACACACUCAGAGGCAAACACAGUCACACUAACAGACACACACACACACACACAGUCAGACAGACAGACACACACUCACUCACUAGCAGACACACACUAGCAGAUACACACACACACACUAACAGACAUACACACACUCACUCACAUUAACACUUUUUUUUAUUUAACCCCCCCAGCCUCCUUACCUUUAGGAAUGCUGGGGGGGUUCUCUUUCUACCUGGGGGUACAGUGGCUGCUGGGCGGGCGGGCGGCGCUGGCGGGCGGCUGGCGAGGGAGCACUUCCCCAUAGCUGUCUGCUUAGCUCCCUUUUGCGCUGCAGAGUGAAGCUGGGAGCUGGAAUAUGACGUCAUAUUCCGGCUUCCAGCUUUACUCUGCAGCGCACGAGGGAGCUGAGCAGACCGCUCAGAGGAAGAGCUCCCUCGCCAGCCGCCCGCCCAGCCCAGCAUGUCAGUUAGCCGCAAGGCUAACAAGGCAUUUGCCCUGGGCAUUUGGGGGCGGCGUUUUUUGCCUCGCGGCUAAAACGUCCCAGACUAAACGGCAAUGUUUCAGAUUGUAGGGUUAAACCUUAAAGGCCACUGUACCAAGACCCAUUCAUUGUGAUGAAGUGGCCAGGGAGCAUUUAGUAGACCUUCAAUACCAAAAAGGCAACGAGUUAAAAUGUUGGUCCAUCUGAGAUCUGACAUGAGUGAGAUCUGAUUCUGACAUGAGUUAAUGCAAGCAUGUCAAACUCGUGGCCCACAUGUGGCCCACAGGGACCCUCUUUGCGGCCCGGCGAGCCGCAAGUACAUGCUGGUGUUAUAGUAGAGACACCUGCUUUCCCCAUAUUGGGGAGGAGGGCCAGCGAGGGAGCUCGGUGUUCCUGCUCCUCACUGCUCCCUCACGCGCGCCGUCUGAAGUGAAGCCGGGCGCCGGAAUAUGACGUCAUAUUCCGGCACCCGGCAUCACUAAACCUUGUGAGGGAGCAGUGAGAAGGACCCCAGGGAGAUGCCCCACAUUGGCUUCAUAAGGUAAGGAGCAAUACAAAAAAGUAUGUGUGUGCAAGAAUGUGUAAGUGUGUGUGUGUGUGUGUGUCUGUCAGUGAGUCUGUCUGUGUGUGUCUGUGUGUCUGUCAGUGUGUCUGUCAGUCUGUGUGUGUGUGUCUGUCAGCAAGUAUGUUUGUGUGUCUGUCAGUGAGUGUGUGUGUCUGUCAGUGUGUCUGUGUGUCUGUGUGUGUCUGUCAGUGUGUGUGUCUGUGAGUAUGUGUGUGUCUGUCAGUGAGUAUAUGUGUCUGUGUGUGUUUGUGUCUGUCAGCAAGUAUGUGUGUGUCUGUCAGCAAGUAUGUGUGUGUCUGUCUGUGAGUAUGUGUGUGUCUGUCAGUGAGUAUCAUUGUUACUGUAUGUGUGUGUCUGUCAGAGAAUAUGUGUGUGUGUCAGUGAGAGGAUCAGAUUUGCACAGAGUGGUAGAGGGGGGGCUGGGAUUUAGUAGAGGGUGGUGCAGUAGUUUAGUAGAGGGGGAUGCUGGGGGUUUUUUUAUACUGUACUUUUUAAAAUAAACCUACGUUUCUAUGAAAAUUUAUGGUAUUUCAAAUUUUUGCUGCCCACAUAAACUUAAACCUUGUUUAUGUGGCCCGAUCCAGACUUUGAGUUUGACAUGUUUGAGUUAAAGAAUUUCUGAAUACAAUUUUUUAUUCAAUAAAUAGCAAAGAAUAAUCUACAUCUGUAGAUUUAUAGAUUACUGUUACAAAGCCUUGAAGCAAAUAGUUGAUUAGUUAACACAGUAUAAAGUACAUCAGCAAUUAAGUAAACAAAGCCCCAGAUGGUAUUCACCCAUAAUCAUAGGUGUGCGCAGCCUAUUGCAUUAGGGUGUGCACUCUAAAGCACAAACACUGCUGUGUGUGUGUGUGCGUUGUGUGAGAGUGGUUUGAGGGUGUUGUGUGUGUAAGGGUGCUGUGUGUGAGGGUGCUGUUAGUGUGAUGUGUGUGUGAUGGUGCUGUUUGUGUGCUAUGUGUGUGUUUGUUAGGGUCCUGUUAGUGUGCUGUGUGUGUGAGGGUGCUGUGUGUGUGUGUUUGUGAGGGUGCUGUUUGUGUGCUGUGUGUGAGAGGGUGCUGUGUGUGAGAGGGUGCUGUGUGUUUGAGGGUGCUGUGUGUUUGAGGGUGCUGUAUGUGUGAGGGUGCUGUGUGUGUGUGGGUGCUGUAUGUGUGUGUGUGUGCUGUAUGUGUGUGUGAAGGUGCUAUGUGUGUGGGUGCUGUAUGUGUGUGUGUGUAGGUGCUGUAUGUGUGUGUGUGUAGGUGCUGCGUAUGUGUGUGUGUGCUGUAUGUGUGUAGGUUCUGUGGGUGAUUGUGGGGGGUGGAGGUGGGAGUACAUUACUUAAUAUCCCCCCUCCCUUAUGUACCUUAUGUAGGGAGGGGGGAUCGUGCUGCUGUCAUCCCUGGUGGUCCAGUGGAGGGUGAACUCUAGCCUGUGGGGCUAGAAUUCACUCUCGCGAGAUCUGAGCGUUGCCACGGCAACGCUCCAACCUCGCGAGAGGAGCCCGGCGGAGCUGCUGGUUGAGCUCCUCGGAUCCUCUCCUGCCUCCCUCCAUGCUGCUGUGGGGAGGGAGGCUUAGAGCAGAGCCGGCGCUCGGAUAGUGCUGGCUCUGCAUGAGCCGACAGGGGAGAUCCUGAGAUCUCCCCUUCCGGUCUCAAUACAUAGGCGUGCCGCGGGGAUUAGGGUGUGCCCAGGCACACCCGGCACACCCCGUGUGCACGCCUAUGCCCAUAAUACUUAUAAGAUUCUGCACUAGAGACCACAUUUUGUCUAGAUGGACAAAAUCUUGUGAUAAUGACCAAAAUCCAGCAACAAUGGCAAUGCUAAUACUUACUAAAGCCAAAUAUGGUUGGAAUUUAGUCAGCCUCAUUGAAUCUGCAGCAAUCACCUGGAUGACUUCAGUGUCAAUAUUAAAAUCUGUGCUCUCACAUCUGAAUCCUAUACAAAAGUGUAGGAUUAGUAAUAUUCACAAAGAACUGUCUUUAACCCCUUAAGUACCAAACUUCUGGAAUAAAAGGGAAUGAUGACAUGUCACACAUGUCAUGUGUCCUUAAGGGGUUAAUUCAGUUUGGAACCAAAUACAUCUGUAAGAGGCACAUUUGCAAAUUACAACUCACUUUCUUUUUCUGCAAGUGAAUGAUAAUUUUAAGUACUAUUGACAACUAAACUGUUAAAAGAAACAAAAACAAAAAAAACAACAACAACACUGUUAGUCUUAAAAAUGUGGUUGCUGGCCAGCAUUUUCAAUUCAGUCUCCAUAUUAAAAAAGAAAAUAAUUACAUUUAAAAUCAAUGGCAUUUAAUAAUUCUCCCACAUUAUUAUAAGGGAGGUUUAAAGUCUUCCUAUUCACCCUCCCACCAUAGGGCAGGUGAGGGCAUAAAUAUCUAGAAAUAAAUAUAUAAUACUAGUGACUGUACAGGCAUUGUUGCCCAGUUGCCAGAAAGACCCCAUCCCCUGUAAAAGUUUGGGGAGAUAUAGCGCCCAACAGAUGGCGUAAUUAAAAAAACAAGUGAAAUAUCUCCUUGUGAACCAGAUUAUCUACAAAGAGUUUAAUUACUUUAUUUUAUAAUUUAUUAACUGUUACAUAACUUUAAUUUAUACAAACACGGAGUGUCCAAUGCCAAGUCCACAAGCAUAUACAUUUGUCAGAAAUGUUACAUUAUCUUUUUUUUAAUUCUUUUUCAAAAAAAAUUUAAAAUUUGCCCUCCAAUAUUGCCAUAAUGUACUAAUGACUCUUGUAUUUAUUUGAUAAAUUUAGUGUUAGCCACUCUUCAAAAUGUUGUUUUUAGGAAGACAAAUAAUAUUUUAAGACUCAUGAUUAUUGUUAAGUUUAUGCUAAUAAAUAAACACAAUGCUUGUUCUGCUAAAAUGAUGAAGAGAAUAAAGCAUUUUUUUAAAGAGGAGCAUCCGAAUGAAGGGUACUUGAACAAUGAUGAAUUAUUAAUUUGCCAUUGAUGCUUGUGUUUAUGCAAAUUCUUUAUCUUUAAAAAAAAAAAAAAAAAAUAAUAUAGGAGUAGAUGGCUGGUGACCCACCAUAUAUGAAAAAUGUGAAAGGAUCAAUUAUUUCUGAUGAUUGUGAUGAUUAUUAUUUUUCUUACUGUUGACCAGCAAUUUUUAUAUGCAGCUUUACUCCUAUGUUUACAUUUAUAUAUUAAAGGCAGAGAUAUACUGACCUUUGAAUUCAUUCAUUUGUGCAUAUGACCUGCUGCAUAAUUUAUUGAGAAGAGCAUAUAUAAUGCACUUUAUAAUUCAAAUCUUUCCAAAAUUCUACCAAUAGGUAUUUAUUUAUGGCUUUUACUCCUUGUUCAUAAAAAUGAAAGAAAAAUAUACAAAUUAUAUUCACUUGGUCUACAAUUAAAAAAAUGUUCAGAAAGCAAUGCGGAGUGGCUAAUAUAAUAAAAAUGCCCCUUCUUGCACUAGUACAGUGGCAAAACUCAAGUAUUCACGAGUGCAAACAGACCCCCUUUGCUCCAUCUGUGAUGGGAGCCCAAGAGCUGGCUGGUUGGCCACCUGAGGCCCCUCAUUGAGGCCGGUGGCAGUGAGGGAGGUGUAAUCUUUAUGCUCUACUUGCUCUGCUCCCUUGCACGCCCUACUGUAAAUCAGGAAGCCAUGAUAUCAUGUCACUCUGGCCUGGCUUCACCAAAUGUCACCCGAAGAAACAGUAAAAUAAGCAGGAAGAGUCAAUUACUGGACCACAGGAUAAGGAAACACUCCAGCUCUCCCGCAGGUAGGGAGGCUGGGUGGACUUUAAUUAAAAAAUAAUAAUAAUUAAUGAGUGCAUGUGUCACAGGUUUGUAGUGAAUGGGCUCAGUAUGCAGAUAUUUGAACAAAACACAUUCACUUAAGAGCUUUAUUGAUGAAUGAAUGCAAUAAAUUGGUAAAUCCGGGAAGUAAACAAAUGUAAUAAGACCAUUCAACAAAUAAAGAUUAAAAAGUCUUGUAGAGAGGAUAAGCAAAUACAAGUAUAAAGUCUCAGGUUACAAAACAAAUAGACAAAGCUCACCAUAAGAUCCAACACUGGUCCAGGGUGGCAAGGGCUAGUCCAAGCAAGUCAGGUUAACUGAGAUAAACAAAGGCAAGGCCAAGCUCGUACUGAUUAGCAAGGCAGAUCCUAACUGGUAGGCAUUAAUAAAGGCAAGUCCAAGCUGGUAGGGGUUAACAAAGGUAAAUCUAGGCUUGUAGGAGUUAACAAAGAUAAAUCCAAGCUGGUUAGUAAGCAGGGCAUGCCCAAGCCUCUUCUGUUUGUGUCUGUCAGUGUGUUAGAUUAGUGAAAGUGUGUGUCUGUCAGUGAGUAUGUGUGUCAGUGAGUGUGUCAAAUCAGUGAGGGUGUGUGUAUCUCAGUGUAUGUCUGUCAGUGAGAGUGUGUGUUGGUUAAACAGUAUGUGUGUCAAUGACUGUGGAUCUGCCAUUGAUUGUAUGUCAAUGUAUAUGUUUAUUAGUGAGGGGAGGUUUCAGUGAAAGUGGGUGUGUUUUGGGUCUGUGAGACUGUGAGAGUGCAUGUGCUUAACAGUAUAAAAUAGUUGAAUUCAAUUUUAUUUAGCAAUAUGCAUAUAUGUAUGAAAAAAAAAUAAAUAAAUAAAUAUAUAUAUAUAUAUAUAUAUAUAUAUAAUGUAUGUGUGUAUACACACAGUAUAUAUACAUGUGCAUGUAUUAUUAAUAAAAGUGUAUAUAAAAUAAGUAUAUUAAAAAGCAUUCAAUUACAUCACUACAUUGAAAGGCAGUCCUCUUGCUCCCUGUCACUGUGUUAUGCCUCCAACAGAGGCUUACUGGUGGAAUUUAGGAUGCAAUCAUGCCAGUCUGCUGGCAGUGAAGCCAGCAUGUUGGUUUCAACACGGGGGAUUGCCUUGCUUAGGGAAGUGACUUAGCUGGCAGGGUCAAUCAUUUCACACUCACACACAGCCAAACCCUAUAUGCAAUCACACUUUGCCAGCCACACACAUACACACAAUCACACUCCACCAACUCCACACAUACAUCACACUCGACCAGCAAACACAAUCACACUCAGCCAAGACCAACACAGAUUCACAUUCAGUUAACCCACAAACAAUCACACUCAGCCACCUCACACAUUCCACUUAGGUGUAGGGGGGUCAAGGAGGGAGGUAAAGGGGGCCUUUCCUUGAUUCUUGCACUGGGGCCCUGUAAUUCCUAAUUGUACAGGGACCACUUGAAAAAGGAGUAUGACUGGAUUUUGACGAUUGGAGUAAUGGAACAAUAAAGCUGGUGUUUAUAUUAAAAAAUUGUAUUGUUUGCAAAAUAAAUGUAAGUGGCAUGAAUUGUACCAACAACCACUGCGAGUGCUAUGUGGAUUUUUAAUGAAUCAUCCAGCAUUGAAGAUGUGUAUGAUGGAGCUCCCAGUACCUCGAUUGGGUACCACUGCUAAUUCAACUUGCAGGGACCCUGGAACGCUUCUGCCCCGGCUUGACUGGAGUCUUUCUGGAGCUUUUGCACCCGUCCAGGCAGCAGCUCUCAUUCCAGGCAGGUGUCAUCCCCUCUGCCUAUUCCGCUGCAGCCCUUUUUCCAGGCAGGUAUCGUCCCCUCUGCCUGUUCUUAUUCUGCCUUCUUACAGUGAUUAAAGUUAUUGUCUUUAAAAUGGCAACUGCGGCUCUCACGCUUAGCUCUCUUGAUCUAUCACAGGGAUAGAGGGAUCCUGCAACCAGGAAACAGGUCUGAAGACUCUGUUACUGGGAUCCCUAAAAAUCCACACAGGACACAAGUUCCAAAAGGAACUUACAUACAAUAUUGUAUUUUUCACAGGACUAGUGCAUAGACUCAUUAUAUGUAGAUUGCUGUGACAAGUUAAAUAAAAUACAAAUAACCAAAUCGUAGCAGACAACAUACAGCAAUUUAUUAUAACACAAUUAAAUAUUUACACCCUGUUCCAAAUUAUUAUGCAAAUGAUAUUUUUCUCAUUUACCUAAAUAAUUGAUGUAAAUAACAGUCAGCAUAAUUCUCAUGUUAUCAACUAUUAAGAGUACAAUUCAAAUUUUAUUGAACAAACCUCCUAAUGAUAACAGUUUUUUUUUAAACAUUAAAAACUUUCAAUGCAUUGUUCCAAAUUAUAAUGCACAGUAAGUUUCAAAACACUUUAUAGGUAGUGAUGUCGCGAACAUGAAAUUUUAUGACAUCACUACCUAUAAAGUAUUUUGAAACUUACUGUGCAUUAUAAUUUGGACCGGGCGAACCGCCAUAGACUUCAAUAGGCAGGCGAAUUUUAAAACCCACAAGUUGUUUCAAGGGGACUAACACCUGGACUGUGGCAUGCAAACUCCGAUCCGCGGCUGCAUCUUGCAGCCGCUUAGUAGAUAACUCCCUAAUUCCCACGGUAUUAGGGAGUUAUCUACUAAAAGGCUGAAAGACCUAAAUUGGUCUUUCAGCCACAUUUACUAAUACUAAGUAAAGAUUACUUAGUAUUAGUAAAUUUUGCCCCUACUCGCUAUGCAGCGAGUAGGGGCAUGUCUAGUAAAAAAAAAAAAAAAAAAUACCUAUUGCCCCCACCCCUGUGCGACGGGUGGGGGCCAUAAAUUACAAUGGGGGGGAGGACCUACUGUCCUCCCCCCCGGCCCCCACCCCUGGGCGGCAGGUGGGGGCCAUAAAGAUAAUGAGGGGGGAGACCUACUGUCUUCCCCCCGGCCCCCACCCCUGGGCGGCGGGUGGGGGCCAUAAAGAUAAUGAGGGGGGAGGGACCUACUGUCCUCCCCCCCCGCCCCCACCCCUGCGCGGCGGGUGGGGGCCAUAAAGAUAAUGAGGGGGGGACCUACUGUCCUCCCCCCCUGGCCCCCACCCCUGCGCGGUGGGUGGGGGCAAAUAAAUCACAAUGGGGGGGACCUAAGGUCCUGCGCCUGGCCCCCACCCUUGAGCGGCGGGUGGGGGCCCUAAAUACUAAAAAGGGGGGGGACCUAAUGUCCUCCCCCCAGGCCCCCAACCCUGAGCGGUGGGUGGGGGACCUAAAUACUAAAAAGGGGGGGACCUAAGGUCCUCCCCCCCGGCCCCCACCCCUGAGCGGCGGGUGGGGGCCCUAAAAAAAAGUCCGUCCCCCCCCAGGUGACUAGGGGUCCCCAAAUCCCUAGUCACCCCCUCCCCCCCCCAAAAAAAUAACCCCCUACCUACCCCCCUCACCCUAAAAAUAAUGAGGGGGGGACCUUUAACUAAGUAUCUGUAAAAAAAAAAAAAAAAACUUACCAUUUGAUGUUUUCUUUCUUCUAAAUCUUCUUUUUUCAGCCCCAAAAAAGGCCAAAUAAAAAAACAUUUUUUUAGGGCCCCCACCCGCCGCUCAGGGGUGGGGGCUGGGGGGGAGGACAUUAGGUCCCCCCCCUUUUUAGUAUUUAGGGCCCCCACCCGCCGCUCAGGGAUGGGGGCCAGGGGGGAGGGGGAGGACCUUAGGUCCCCCCCUUUUUAGUAUUUAUGGCCCCCACCCAUCGCUCAGGGGUGGGGGCAGGUGGGAGGACCUUAGGUCCCCCCCUUUUUAGUAUUUAGGGCCCCCACCCGCCGCUCAGGGGUGGGGGCCAGGGGGGAGGACCUUAGGUCCCCCGCCUUCUUAGUAUUUAGGGCCCCAACCCACCACUCAGGGGUGGGGGCCGGGGGGGGACAGAAGUUCCCCCCUAUUGUUUUUUUUAGGGCCCCCACCCACCGCUCAGGGGUGGGGGCUGGGGGGAGGACAGUAGGUCCCCCCCCCAUAUCAUUGAGUAAACUUUGACAACCCCCACCCCCGAGUGGCGGGUGGGGGGGUUGUCAAAGUUUACUCAAUGAUAUGGAAUAGGGGGCGGACCGAACAUCGCAUAUGUUCGCCCGCCGCGGCAAACGCGAACAAGCGAUGUUCGCCAGGAACUAUUCGCCAGCGACCUGUUCGGGACAUCUCUAUUUAUAGGUUGUAAAGAACUGAAAAUUGUCAUUUGUUGUGUUUGCAGCAUAUUUACUGUAAUCAAAAGCAAUUUCAAUCAAACAUAACAAAAUCUUAACUUUUUAAACAUUUUAACAGGUCACAUUACAUUUUAACAUAGGACCCCUUAUUUGAUAGCAGCUUCACAAGUCUUGCAUCUAUUGAACUUGUGAGUUUUUGGACAGUUUCUGCUUGAAGAUUUCAGAAUAGCCUCCCAGAGCUGCUCUUUGCAUGUAAACUGCCUCCCACCCUUAUAGAUCUUUUGCUUGAGGAUGCUCCAAAGGUUCCCAAUAGGAUUGAGGUCAGGGGAGGAUGGAGGCCACCCCAUGACUUUCUCUCCUUUUAUCCCCAUAGCAGCCAUUGAUGCAGAAGUAUUCUUUGCAGCAUGAGAUGGUACAUUGUCAUACAUGAAGAUGAUUUUAUUACGGAAAGCAUAGUUCUUCCUUUUGUACCAGGGAAGAAAGUGGUCAGUCAAAAACUCCAUAUACUUUGCAGAGGUCAUCUUUACACCUUCUGGCACCCUAAAGGGGCCGACCAGCUCUCUUCCCAUGAUUCCGGCCCAAAACAUGACUCCACCACUAUCUUGCUGACGCUCCAUCCACUACUCCAUCCAUCUGGACCAUCCAGGGUUGCACGGCACUCAUCAGUGAACAGGACUGUUUGAAAAUUAGUCUUCAUGUAUUUUUCUACCCAAUGCAGCCAUUUUUGCUUAUGAGCAUUGGUUAGUGGUGGCCAAAUAGAAGGUUUAUGCAUAGUUGCAAGACUCUGGAGGACUCUACACCUUGAUGUCCAUGGGACUCCAGAGGCACCAGCAGCUUCAAAUAUCUGUUUACUGCUAUGUAAUAGUAUUUUAGAAGCUGCUCUCUUGAUUCGAUGCAUGGAUCUUGCAGAAAUCUUCCUCAAUGUGCCUUUAUCUGCAUAAACCCGUCUUUGCUCUGAAUCAGCCACAAAUCUCUUAAUAGUGCGAUGAUCAUGCUUAAGUUUUCGUGAAAUAUCUAAUGUUUUCAUACCUCAUCCAAGACGUUGAACUAUUUCACUAUUUUCGGCAGCAGGGAGAUCCUUUUUCUUCCCCAUAUUGCAUGAAAAUGGUGCUCUGCUUAAUAAUGUGGAACACCCUCCUUUAGUAGUUUUUUCUUAAAUUGGGCUCACCCGGCAAUCUAAUUAUCACAGGUGUCCGAGAUUGUUUUCAGUGAUCAAAAGAGCCCUGAGACACAAUGCCAUCCAUGAGUUAAACUGAAAAACAACAUAUCUAAUCUUUGUGACACUUAAAUAGAAUUUGCAUAAUAAUUUUGAAAAGGGUGUAAAAGUGGUUGGGGAAGAUAAUAAUGAACACUAAAUAUCUCUCCUGCCUGCAGAAUUAGCAAUAUGCAAAUACACCCAAAUAUGCAAAUUAGCAAGCCUUGCUAUUCAGGUAGUGCAUAUAGCUGUUGCUUCAACCAACAGAGGGCAAUAUACAGGCUCAAUUGCGAAAUCCUCCUAGUUGGUAGCAAGCAUCAGCAGGAAAGGAGAGCACACACAAUUAACAAUAAAUACAUAAUACACAUACAUUACACACACUCUGAACCUAGAAUGGGCACAGGGUGACUUAAACAAAGUAAUCAUCCAGGGAUCUAAUUGAAGUGUCCAUCUUAUGUUCCCAGUGAUGGUGGCUACUGUCACAAUUUGUAUUAAAGGAAUAAAACACACUUAAAGAGACACUAUAAUAUAUUCUCCAAUUGGAAUAGGGGGGUUGUUUGAAGAGACCUAGCAUGAACCCUUGGUUGAGUUCUGCUGAGAGCAGUGUGUCCGUGGUGUUGGGGUCUAAGGUGGACGAUUACAUUCUAAAGUGCCCCCUGGGAGUGCCACAAGCCCCAUGUGGAACCAUUCCGUGAUCCCCGUGGUGAGGAAAUUGACCAAGUGUGGGGAGGGGUGUCUGAAGAGAUCAUUUCUGUGAGUCAUUGCUUAGGGAAUAACCGGUUGGAGCACAUGGUCUUUCAUGUGCCCUAAAGCAAAGGGAACAGAUAUGCAGCAACCGACAUCCGCUGAAAAUACAACCUCCAGUGUUGAAGUUGUUGCAUAUCUGUGCCUUACCUAGGAAGACGAUGGGCCUGCCAAGUUUGUCCUUGAGUACCCUUGCUGACUUGUUGGGAGUGGACUCUGCUUUGCUGGUAGUAGGCAGGCUACCUUUGGUGGGGCACAGAUUGGAGAAUGUGGGCGUGGUCAUCUUUCUAACCCCUCCCCUUUGCAACAGACAGUCACAUGCUCUCACUGAGAGUGACACGCUCUCACUUAGAGACACACACACUCACUGAUUUGUCACACACUGACAGAAACAUACUCAGACAGAAACAUUGAAACACACUCUCAAUGAUAGAUACACAAUCUCACUGAUUUGAAACACUCGCUGACAGACACAAAUUCUGAUAGACACUUAGUGGUACACAAAACAAGGAAGUCCAGCAUUUUAAAUCACAACAUACAUUAUCACACAAUUACACACACACUGCCCCAUGCAUACCUAGACAGUCACACACAAUACAAUACACACACAUUCACACUGUCAUAUGGACUCUGUAACAAACACACUCUCUCUCUCUCUCUCUUUCUCUGUGUGUCACAUUCACACAGUCCUUGCUGCCAUGAGCAGUGGAAGAAAGAGAGGAGGCCAGGUUUCCUAGUGUCUAGUGUUGAGGAGGUAGGUAUUCCUUUCUGCUUCCCCUCUGUGCAGUUCUAGACUUGAUGACGCCCUCUUAAACAAUUAUCUAAAUAAACUUAUUUGUAUAAAUUAUUUUUUAAUGCAAAGCUUCUAUAGUUAGGGCAGGGAUGGGGCUUUAAUGCAAAGUGUCAAAUAGUUUUCCUUAUUUUUAGUUUGCUGUAUAUGUACAUUGAUGUAUGUACCCCAUAUACACUUUAAUACACAUACAUAUAAACCACAGAUCAUAUCUCAUACAUACAUAGACAUGUGCACACUCACAUACAUCCAUACAUAGACACACACUGUCACAUACAGAGGCACGUAACAACAUACACAUUCACAUACAUAUAUACCGGGUUAUUAACAAACAUGAGGAUUGUCAAGAAUAGUGGAUUUCAAAGUGGAUGACAGAAUAGUCAAACUGGAAGCAUUGUAUUCCUGACAAUUGUUUUAGUGAAUAACCUUGUCAGACAUGAAUUAACACACACCAUCACAUUCAUCAUAGACACACAUCAGCAUGGACACAGACACACCAAAACACAGACAUACACACAUUAAUACAAUUACAAACAUUCAUAAAAAAACACUGAGGCACAUACAUUAAAAGACACACAAAGUCCCAUACAUAGACACACAACACACUCAGUCACUUAGACAUGAAAUCACAAACAGUCACAUAAAUACAUAGGUAAAAAAUAGCAAGUACAGAAGUCAGAAACUGACCGCUUAUGUAUAGCACAUUGGUUGGUAGAUUAUUUUAAUUGGUGUUCAUGUGUGGUUAUGUGACUGGGUAGGUAGGUAGUUACUCAGCAGAGUACCACUGGUGUAACACCACCUACACUCAGCAGCUCCUUUGCCAGCUACCUACUGGGGGAGUUUCUAGGGUUGGGAGGUUUUCAAGGCUGCAUUCUAAAGCAGCCACUCUCUUUCCUGAGUCCUACCAUGUUCCAAGCUGUGACACUCUUCCCUGCAGCACCCCCCUCAUUCUAGUGCUUGGUCACAAAUGCCCCCUCAAACUACCCUGGUGGUCCAGUGGUAUCCUAUAUGCGUUCCCUGGCAGUCCAGUGGUGAAUAGCAGGAAGCACAUGUCCUGUUGUUUCAGAUCAUAAUACCCACUCCUUCAUGGCUCUGGCUUUCAAUGUUGUCAGAGCGCAGGCUGAGAAUCUCUGAGCCUGUUUUCUGACUCACAAACUGAGCACCAGAACCAUGAGGGAGAGGGUAUGAUCUGACCACACCUACUACUUGUGUGCACCAGUGGAUCACCAGGGAAUCAUUUAAAUUUAAUAUGUUAGUGUCCCCAGUUUGCGAGCUGUGUUGGCCGCCAGGUGCCUCUGUUGUCAUGGCGCCCUGCGUAACCACACAGCUUGCACACCCCAAAGGCUGGUCCUGCUGACAGACACACUGGCACUCACUCAAUGACACACACAUAAACCCUGACACACACAAACCCUGACAGACAGACACACACUCACUUGACAGACAACCACUUACUUGACAGACACACUCGCUGACAAACACACAAACACUGACAUACACUCGCACACACUGAUGGACACACACACACACACACUGACAUACACACUUACUGACAGACACAUUUACUGACAAACACACUCACACACUCACUAACACACAAACACUAACAGACACAUCACACACACUGACAAUCACAUUGACAGACACACUUGCUGAUAUACACACACACAUUCUCUGACAGAUACAUUUACUGACAAACACACUCACUGACAGACACACACAAACACUAACAGACACAUACACAGACACACGCACUGACAGAAACACUAACAGACAUAUACACAGACACACACACUGACAGACACACUCACUGACAAAAACACACACACUCACUGACACACACACUUUCUGACAGACAUACACACACACUCACUGGGAGACAUAGACUCACACUCACUGACAGACACAGACUCACUGACAAAAACACACUCACUGACGCACAUACUUUCUGACAGGCAUGCACACACACUCACUGGCAGACAUACACACACUCACUGACAGACAUACACACACACUCACUGACAGAUAUACACACAUACUCACUGAUAGACACUCACUGACAGACACAGACUUACUGACAGACACACACACACACUGACAGACAUAGACUUACUGACAGACACACACUUACUCACAGAUACAUGCACACACACUUACUGAUAGACACAUACACACUUACAGUCUUGCAUACACACUCACAAAUGAAUUGCUUGUUUGUUGCUCCUACCUUUAGGAGUCUUCUCGGUCCUCUCCGCGGGAUCCAGUGACAUUCAUGAUCUUCCUGCUCCUCUCUCCUCCCUCGCACUGUUUAGUGAAUUACAUCAUAUUCCGGCUCCCGGCAUCAACACAGAGGGCUCGCGAGGGAGCAGGAAGAUCAUCAGCUCAGACAGUCCUCCCUCUUCGCCGCCGCCUCCCUGCUUCCACACUCUGUUCCGGUAUAUUGAUGCAGAGUAGGCACCUGCUGUCUGGGUUAAGCAGGGUUCGCCAACUCUACCUUGCAUCAUAAUCGCUGUUCCUGGGGUGCCCUUAGGUGGCCAGCUGGCCACCUGCUGGGCUCCCUGUGACAGGCCAUCAGUCGCUCUGCGCAGCGCCCCCCCACCUCCAUGCGCUUGGGCGCAGUGCACCCCGUGCACCCGCCCAGGAUUGGCCAUGCUUGAGUACUACGGACACGUCCCCACAGCAAUAAGCCUUUUUCUCCAGCAAAUCUUGGCAUGCUAUCAGAAGGGAGACUAGGUUUACAUCUUUCCCUUCUAGUGUGUCUUUCUUAAUGGACUGGGGUACUAAGUGGGCAGGUGUGAUUAUGUGUGAGGUCGUUGGCAUUGGGUUAGAAUUAAUGCUGUUACCCGGGUUUGGGGUUGUCUGUAGAAGUGUGGCGGGAAUGACUGCCGGGGUGAUAAUGAGAAAUUGGGUCUCUAGUUUCUCCAGUCUCUCAUUAAUGAGGUUAACGGAUGAGAGUAGUGCUGACAUGGUAGCAUGGAUUCCUGACGUGUUUCUGUUGUUUCCCGGUCCCGGGGUGUCAGGGUUAGCAUUAAACAGGUGGUAUAAUUCCGCUUUGCGAGCCAUGGCCGGGUAUGGGACGCCUCUUCUCCUAAGCUCGGCCACAAUCUUGGGUAUGGUCCAAAAACUUAGAGAUCCCUGGUUUGCCGUCUCUAUGUUCUUGGCUGGGGUGCGUGGUCUGGCUGAGCUGGAGUUUCUGGAUGCUAGAUAGGGAGAUAUCCUUGGCCAUGUCAGACGCGUGCAAUAUUCUGGAACGUAAAUAAGUUAGGAAUUGUGAUUCUUUAAAGGAGAAGAGUGUCAUCUGACGUGUAUUUAGUUCAUCCCUAGAGGUGGAGAUGACCAUUUGGGUGUCGGUUGGUAACGUAUGAUCGUCUUGGGAUUUGCACGUGACAUAGGAGGGCGGAAUGGUAUCCACCUGUGAGAACAGGAAAAGCAGAGUGGUUUUGACUAUGAUAUGAUGUGAGGAGGCCGUUGCCAGUAAGGUGUCCUGGAUGGAACCAUGCUAGGGGCAGAGGCGUGACAGUGACCUAGGUAUUACAUGGACCCACCGUGUUGGCAUUUAUGCCUGUUGGUCUGUCAGGCACAUGAUCUGACUGGAGGUGCGUACAAGAGGGAAAUAAUGGAGAAUUACUUACUUUGUAUUUAGCAAGGUUGCGAGUGUUCUAUGGCCUAAAGGUAGGUUACAACAGUCCUGGCCGGAAUGGUACGGUAACAAAAGUACCGGGGAUGGGGCUUUGAAGACCUAGAAUUAGGUAAAGUAAAUAUGUGCUGGUACAGGUACCUGUGAAAAUUACGGCAUGGGAAUGUAUUCCCUGUAUUUUAGAUGACAGGUUGUAGUGGAGCCAGUGUUCGUGCCUAUGGAGUAAGACCAGAGGCCUAGAUAGUGAUGAUGGUGAGUAUUGAAAAAUGAAAAUAAUUAAUAUUAUUUUUUUAAUUAUUAUUUGGCCGUGCAGAUCUUACAUACCUGGGUCUUCACUGUGAGGAGAUAUUCAGCACAAAAGUAGCAAGCCUACAUUCAGUAGUGUCUAGCUGAAAUAUAUAUGAAUGAGCGAGUUUGUAGGAUAUUGUAUGGUGAUGUAUGGCGAUGUACAGUGAUUACACGCCUCUCUCUACCCCCUCUUAUCUUUACCUGUUUUGCAUUCUUUCUCAAUUCGAACUCUCUCCUCCUACCUCUUCAAUCUAGCUUCCCCUCCAUUCUACUGAGACCCCUCUGAUUACCGUAACUAAUAACAGCUAAAUCCAGAGGCCACUACUCUAUACUAAUUCUACAAGUCCUCUUUGCUGCCUUUGACACUAUUCUUCUAACUCUUCAAACCUUUGGCUUCUGUACUGUACCUCUCGAGGGAAGGUAUUAAAAAGAAUCUUAAUGUUAUUAGGACAAUCUUUGGUUACAUUAGAUUUUAUGCAACUGACACUUUUGAAUCCUAAUUAUUAUAUAUGGGAAGUGAUGCCCCUUGUCCCAUUCUCCCAACAUUCAUUCAGUGUCUCCUUUUCUAAUGACACCUCCUCCCCUAGUUCUAUCUGAUUGGAGUCCUCCCAAGGUGGGUCUGCUCUUACUCCACUUAUGCUUUCCAUUUAUACUGCUUCUCUUGGCAAACUUAUUAAUUCAUUUGGAUUCCGCUACCACCUGUAUGCUGACAACAUCCAGAUAUAUCUCUCCCCUGCUGCCAUAGAAUGUAUCACCGGUUACAUGAGGAGAAAAAUAUAAGGAGAAAAACUGAGCUUCUUAUUUCUUCUCCUCAUAAUACUAAUUCUUUUGCUCUCCCUGCAAGUUAAUGGUACCUGCAUUUGCCUGUCCUUUUAAGCUCACUGUCUUAGUGUCAUCUUUGAUUCUGACCACACCUUUAUGUCUCACGUCAUGUCUGUUGCCAAGUCUUGUCGAUUCCACCUUAAAAACAUUGCCCGAACCCGUGACCGCUCCUUUUUAAUACAAGAUGUUGCUAGGGAGCUUUUUCAUGCUAUAGUAAUUUGUUGCAUUUAUUACUGUAAUUCUCUGCUAAUUUGACUCCCCAGAAACCGUACUGCCUGGCUGCAGUCCGUGAUGAAUGCUGAUGCCAGGUUGAUUUUUCUCUCCUGUCACAUCUCUCACACCUUGCCCCUCUGUCAAUUCUUACAUUGGCUUCUUGUACCUUAUAGGAUUCAGCAUACUAGCUCUUACCUACAAAGCUCUAAGCAACUCUAGCCCUUGUUACAUUACUUCACUAAUACAUAGGUAUGCCUGUCUCUCCUCUCAGCUGGUAACAUUACACCCAUACUUGGGAUUGCAGGAAUUGUACCCCCAUCAGACUCUCCACUAGUCUUAGUUUGGUUUGAAUUGUAUUCAGUCAGGAAUUGACUAAUAUAGUCUAGCUAAUCCCUGGUUUAUAUUUUCAAUUCUCUUGGAAUAUGUGUUUUAAUAGGAAGAUAUGUUUAAAUCCAUGUUUUAUUGAGGGCAGAGUAUUGCCAUUUAUCUUUAAAAGCUUGGCUUUUGGAGUUCACUGUGAGUCUUGGGCUGUGUUUUUCCUAGGCAGUAAGGGAGGGAUUACAUUUUCUUAAUGUUGUUAGGACAAUCUUUGGUUAAAUUGGAUUUUAUGCAACUGACUCUUCUGAAUCCUUAUUUUUUAGUAGGGACUAAUGCUAAUACUAAAGGUUAUCCUUAUUAUAAGUUUGGAUAUGUCAAGGAAAUUGGAAUAAUACACUAAUCCUACAAACACAGAGCAUCAGAUUUAACAGGAUGAAAAUUUUAAAGUAGUUCUCACUAAAUAUUUUGGAUUUAUUUUGCCACAACUUCUAGAGACAAAUGAAGAGCACGUGUAUCUAUAAAAAGUACUGGGCAUGCAGGUUUUUAGAUGGAAAUGCUAUCUCUUUCAUUGUCAAAAUAGUGUCUUUACAAAUCUGUAUCUUCCCUUAUUAUUCCAUGAAUAUUUCUCGUUGACUGUUAAUUUGUCUUUCAGUUUUAUUUUUAUCAUCAUCUUCUUUUGUUUUAUUGCCCAGUAUCUUCUGUUUAAUACACUUUGUCUUUCACCACCUCUAAUUGUAAACUUUUGGCAUAUGAGCAAUAUUUUUAACAUAGUUAUACCUAGAGUGUAGUCAGGUACCAUAUUCUGUUACAUUGAACCCGAUGAUUAAAUCAAUGAGCCGCAUUAUUAUAUUCAUUUUCAUAUUUUUUAGUUUUAUUAAUAUAUUUUGCCUAAUAUACUUUAUCUGUUAAUGCCUUACACUGUUAAUGCCUUUUGACAUAAUUUUGGCAUAUGAGCAAUAUAUUUAACAUAGUUAUAACUAGAGUGUAGUCAGGUACCAUAUUCUGUUACAUUGAACCCGAUGAUUAAAUCAAUGAGCUGCAUUAUCAUAUUCAUUUUCAUAUUUUUUUGUUUUAUUAAUAUAUUUUGCCUAAUAUACUUUAUCUUUUAAUGCCUUUAUCUGUUAAUGCCUUUUGACAUAAUUUUGCAAAAUAUUGAAUAUUGUUACAACAUUUAUAGAAUCAGUUACAACAUUCUGGCACACUGUACCCAAUAGGUUGAUGAAUUGCUUCAUAUAUCUACUUAAUAUGUCUUAGUUGGAGUGUACAUGUUUCAAUCCCCAUGCACUGGGCCUGACCAUUACCACCAAUUGAUCACUUGUUCCGUUAACCACUCCAUCUGUAGUGCUAUUGACUGCUGGAUAUGCCAAUUUUUUUUCUCCACUUUUUCUCCACUUACUGAACCUCAUAUCACAUUUGGUGAAGUCUCCUUUUUAAUAGUGAAUGUGCUCUGGUAUAUGUCCUUCUUGAAUUGCUCCUGAUCGGCAAAAUGAUUGUCGGGACUCUACUAUUGCUGAUCCAGUUGCUUUUCAUUUAUAGUGAUGCUACUGUGGCAUAGUCAUUUUCUGGGCGCUGACCAGCAUUCACUAUCUCUUUUUUGCUUUCAUGUCAUUAUCUUGCAUACUUUGACCUAGAGCAGGGAAACGUUGUUCAACACAGUAUUUUUAAUGUGAUUUGCGCUCAGGUGAACCUACAGCCAAGGACAGUUUGAUUUCUUCUUCUGGAUGCAAUUCCUUAUUUAUUCUCUCGGUCUGGGUUCAUUCUUCGCUACUACUCCUUUGUAUCUGUGCUCUUUCUAGACACUCUAUGAUAAACAGUAUAAUUUAAUCUCACUGACGUAUCACUUUGUUUCAGUACAGUAUUUGCUCUCAUAAGUUUCUGUGACACUGCUCUACAGUUUCUGGCAAUAGUCAUCAUGAGAUGGAUAGGAUAACAAGAACACAUUUAAAUUUUCUUGUGAUAAGUGUCACUAUUUAUUAUCUUUGUUUUAAAAUCAUUUUUCAGAUUAUUUUUAACAAAAGUUGUUUUAAUAUUAUUUUUUAUAAAGUGCCAACAAGUUCCGUAGCGCUGUACAAUGGGUAGACUAACCGACACGUAUUUGUAACCACACGCGUUAGACACACAUUCCUUUAUGCCUUAAUAAUAUCCCUUAAUGCCUUAAUGUUAGUCUGCCUCUCUUGUAUCUCUUACAGCUGAGCUACACCAUACACUCUUACUGUUCUUUUCCGAAUCCAACGUGCUGUUAGUGUGUGAAUGUGUGAUUGAGAGAAAUAGAUAGAUAUAAAUAGCUAGAAAUAGAUGGAUACAGAUAGCUAGAUAGAAAUAGAGUGUGUGUGUAUGUUUAACAAUAUUUAUUUAAAAUGUGUGUGUUUUUAUACAAACACUAUAUAUAGAAAUACACACUUUUGGCUUAGAAGGGCUGCCUUAGGAGGGGGGCAGGUAUAAACAGUGAGCUGUCAGUCAGCUCGCGAACGUGCAUACUGUACACAUGCACAGUAGAGCGCUCAGUUAAUUCGUAGAGCGGCAUUCAGUGUCACUCUCUGAAGAACCUGAUUGGUGCAGCGCGAAGCCAUGCAUGUGCACCAUAAAGCGAUGACCCUACUGAAAGAGAAGCGCCUGAGCCCUGCUAUUUUGUCAUUCUGAUGAAAAAAGGGGGCGUGGCCUGCCGAAGAGCUUGGCGCUGGAACUUAGGUAAGUUUAUAUGAUAAAAAGGGCUUGAAUUUAUUUAUUUUUAAUGGCAAACUAAUAUAAAAACAAGAAAAAAGUCUAGGGGACCUGCCUUUCUUGCUUUUAUAUGUUGACUAUAGUCAUCCUUCAAGUAUUAUAAUCCCCUAUCUACUUGUAAUAAUAAAGGAAAUUGUCAAAACAAGGUUUGGGCUCACUCAGCCCGAUGCAGUAAUUUAUUCUGACAUGAAACAUAUUCAAAUAGUAAGAGUUAGCACUAUUUGUUAGCUUCAUUAGAAUUUCUGUAAAACUCCAAGGAACAUAUAGCGAACUGCAAAAUUCCUAAGUGUAACUUUGCAAGAGUGCCUAGCAGCUAUAUUGGCUCAUUAGACACUGAAUUUAGCCUUUCCUGUUUAGCAAACAGAUGCAGCUGCUCAUUAAACAUGAAUCUACUCAUAAGAGAGUGUCAGAAUUAGAGUCUGGAUGAUUCUAUCCAUGUUGAUUUUGUACCAAAGUUGUGAAAGGGACACUCUAAACACCAGCACCAGUACAGCUUUAUGUGGUGGUUUUAGUGCAAAUAGACUGUCCCUACAGUGUAAAAACAAUAAAAAAAACAUUGUUUUUGUUUCUUACUAAUUAAGGACACCUCUUGUGACUGUUACACAGCCACUAGAGGUACUUCCUGUUGUGUCCGUGCAGUCUCCAUGACUGCUGUUCAACUCCUUCCUGAAGACACCAAGCACAUCCUAUAGAAGUUGAGUGAAUGCAUCCCUAUCAGACGAUGCUGAUUGGAGCAGUGUGGGAAAGCAUUGGAUUGGCUAAAAUCAUCAUCACUAAGCAUCUCAGCAAAAGCAAUGGCUGCAGAAAGACCAGAUUAAAAUUUAAAUAAGAAUAUAUAUAUAUAUAUAUAUAUAUAUAUGUAUAGUGCUUCUUUAAUACAUGAUGCGGGAAGGUUGCUACAUGUUACUGGAAAUAUGUUACUUAAUUGCUGACAUCCAUAUCUGUAUGCUGGAGAACUGUUAUUGCUAAAAUAGCUGGAUAUGAUAUUUUUGUGCAUGUAUUUGACUGUCUAAAAGUCUUCUAAAAAUUUUGUAAAUUGCUAUGUUUGUUUCCCAUUGCAGAAAACAACAGAGAAGACACAUGAAAUUCUGACU